UAAUACAGCAAAAAGCUUCUUCACGGUCCCUUGUCUUCAACGUAAGUCACUGAUCGGUAGGCGUGCUUUCCCAUCAUUAAGCAGACAGCUAGGGAGCAGCAUGUGAGCAGGCAUGGUCUGCUCAGUCGACAGCCACACGAGGGAUGGGAUGAGUGUAUGAGCCGCAUCGUCCACUUUUUAAGGAGCGUAACAGCGACAGCGGUUGGCUUCCGGCAGACAUCGACGUCCAUUCUUAA